GUUUACGUGAUGUAGUGGUUAUCACUUGCGCUUCACACGCUCAAGGUCCUCGGUUCGAUCCCGAGCGGAAACA
rnacentral:tRNA from 1 species